rnacentral:rRNA from 1 species
UACGGAGGGAGCUAGCGUUAUUCGGAAUUACUGGGCGUAAAGCGCACGUAGGCGGCUUUGUAAGUCAGAGGUGAAAGCCUGGAGCUCAACUCCAGAACUGCCUUUGAGACUGCAUCGCUUGAAUCCAGGAGAGGUGAGUGGAAUUCCGAGUGUAGAGGUGAAAUUCGUAGAUAUUCGGAAGAACACCAGUGGCGAAGGCGGCUCACUGGCCCGGUACUGACGCUGAGAUACGAAAGCGUGGGGAGCAAACAGG